rnacentral:tRNA from 1 species
AGUAUGUUGAAAUGAAUGUCUGCCUACGGAGCAGAUGGUCGUAGGUUCGAAUCCUUCACAUCCGA